UGAAGUCUGAAAAUAGGCUGAUUUCAUAUGUGUAUGAGAAUGUGGUGGCCGUUCAUCCUUGCAUCAACGCUCCUAAAAUGACCAUCCCUCUGUAUGAGAAUGUAACAAUUUAUGAGAAUCUUACCGCUAACAGGAAUAUGCCGUAGUGGACGAUGGCACACACCAAAACAUUACAGUCUUCAUGUGACU